rnacentral:rRNA from 1 species
GACGAACGCUGGCGGCGUGCUUAACACAUGCAAGUCGAACGGAAAGGCCCUGCUUUUGUGGGGUGCUCGAGUGGCGAACGGGUGCGUAACACGUGAGUAACCUGCCCUUGACUUUGGGAUAACUUCAGGAAACUGGGGCUAAUACCGGAUAGGAGCUCCUGCUGCAUGGUGGGGGUUGGAAAGUUUCGGCGGUUGGGGAUGGACUCGCGGCUUAUCGGCUUGUUGGUGGGGUAGUGGCUUACCAAGCCUUUGACGGGUAGCCGGCCUGAGAGGGUGACCGGCCACAUGGGGACUGAGAGACGGAGCAGAGUCCUACGGGAGGCAGCAGGCGGAAAUAUGGCACAAUGGGAGGAAGUCUGAGGCAGAAACGUCGGGUUCGGGAUGACGGCCUUCGGGUUGUAAACCGCUUUCGCCUGUGACGAAGCGGGAGUGACGGUAAUGGGUAAAGAAGCACCGGCUAACUACGUG